UACGUAGGGGGCAAGCGUUGUCCGGAUUUAUUGGGCGUAAAGAGCGUGUAGGCGGCCAGGUAGGUCUGCUGUGAAAACUCGAGGCUCAACCUCGAGACGCCGGUGGAAACUGCAAAGCUAGAGUCCGGAAGAGGAGAGUGGAAUUCCUGGUGUAGCGGUGAAAUGCGCAGAUAUCAGGAAGAACACCCGUGGCGAAGGCGGCUCUCUGGGACGGUACUGACGCUGAGACGCGAAAGCGUGGGGAGCGAACAGG
rnacentral:rRNA from 1 species